CCUACGGGCGGCAGCAGUGAGGAAUAUUGGUCAAUGGCCGAGAGGCUGAACCAGCCAAGUCGCGUGAGGGAAGACGGCCCUACGGGUUGUAAACCUCUUUUGUCGGGGAGCAAAGCGAACCACGUGUGGUUCAUUGAGAGUACCCGAAGAAAAAGCAUCGGCUAACUCCGUGCCAGCAGCCGCGGUAAUACGGAGGAUGCGAGCGUUAUCCGGAUUUAUUGGGUUUAAAGGGUGCGCAGGCGGAGGUGCAAGUCAGCGGUCAAAUUGCGGGGCUCAACCCCGUACUGCCGUUGAAACUGCAUCCCUUGAGUGCGCGAGAAGUAUGCGGAAUGCGUGGUGUAGCGGUGAAAUGCAUAGAUAUCACGCAGAACUCCGAUUGCGAAGGCAGCAUACCGGCGCGCAACUGACGCUCAUGCACGAAAGCCAGGGGAGCAAAUGGGAUUAGAUACCCCUGUAGUC
rnacentral:rRNA from 1 species